CGCGGGGACGCCAGGCCGCCGGGCUUUUGACCAGCUUCUGUGGAACAUCUCUACCCUGCCCUGCAGACUAUCCUGUGACUCCUGGAAGUCCAGGUCAUUUGUUGCAUGGAGAGGAUGCAAACCACGUGCUGCAGCUCCCGAUGCCUUUUCCGAGCAGAUUCCUCAGAGGGGGUGCCUGACAUCAGAGAUGAAUUUCAGCCAAUGCCUUCCAAAGAGGCAGAUGCAGAAAGCUCACUCCUUUCAGUAACCCUGAGCAAAGCACUCAACCUCUCUGAGCCUCGGGUUUCCAUCUGUGAAAUGCGCUCAGGCUAAGUUGUCUCUCCAGUCCAUCCCAGGCCUACCCAUGUACGACUAAUUGGAUGAAGCCAAUUCUCCCCUUCUCCAAGAAAAACUGAUCUGCUUGAAGCCCCAUUGCUGAGCUUCCAUGAGCUCCCACAGGGAGACAUACACACUCACAUGCACACACACACAUACAGUCACAUACACAGACACACACACAGUGACACACAUGCACUCACACAUGUAUACAUAUACUCAGACACAUACAGACACACACAAACUUACACACAUAUACAUAUACAUUCACAUACACAUGCAAUCACAUACACAAACACACACAUGCACGCCCUUACACAGGCUUGCAAACUCAUGCUCACUGUUUUUCACACACACACACUUUUCCCCAGUAUAGCUAGUAUUGCUCCUAGGUACAGCAGCUUGCUUGUGUCAUCUUUCUGGUUCUGCUGCACCCGGCACCACCUCUGCAGGUGCCCCCCUGGGCUGCCUUCAUGGCUGAGACAAAGUUUGCCAACCACAGCCAUGUGGCCCUGAACAGGAGAACUGUCCAGCGUGCCCUGAGUUAGGAUGUGGCAACCUCUUCUCAGCACUAAAAACGGGGACACAAGGUCUCACAGCAGGACAGAACAUUUGCUAUCAGGAUGCUUCAUGGUAUAAGAUUAAGACUUAUCAUUUAUUGACUACAUAAGUGUCUGCAUGACAGAUGCUCCUACACCUUAUUUUAUUUAAUUUUCACAACAACCACAUGAGGUCUUGAUCCAAGUGAAUUUGUCUUCAAUCUGCCAAAUGUCAUCCUGAUAAACUCAGGGCAGCAUCCCAGCUUUUAGAGACCAUCGUGGAUUUGGACACUGCCAGCUGCUGACUUAGUUACCCCACCCAGCUUCACACUCCAAUGCUAACAUCCAGAUCUUAAUAAGAAGAAUGAGGAGGAAGAGGAGGGAGCAAAGGAGAAGAUGAAUACAUAAUGAUGAGAAAAAGAGGAAAGACGAAAAAAAGAGGGGGAAACAUAAUAAUAGCAACGAGGAAGAAAAGGAGGAGAGAAAAUUAGGAACUAUCUGGGGACCUUUCAUCCCACCCGGGACCCCUGAGGGUUACUGCUGUUGCAUGCAUCAGCACUGCAUGGAGUAAGGUCAGAGAUGUCCUCCAGAACCCCAACAGAACAAGGGCCAGACCGAAGCUCCUCAAGGUGGAAAAUGACAUGAGUCUGGCUUCGCUUCUCCACAGGGAGCCCCCGCCAGCUCCUCGUGCCCGUCUCUCCCUUGCCUACAGACUCACAGCCUUCCACUUACUUUAGGAUCAUUCCCAGGGUGAACAUCAGAUUUGAGUCUCAUCCACCUCCAGGCUUCAUCCCUAAUGCCUCUCCCACAGCACCUUAGAUGGGGGAUCUCAUUCCAGGUCAUGCCAUGCCCUGGCCAGGGUGUUCUCUGGGUCAGGGCCCUGAGCACACACACAGCAGCCCAGCGCUGCCUGGCUCCUGCUUUCCUCCGGGGACCCACCUGUGGCCUUUGCACCUGCAGAUCCUCCUCUGUCCAGACUGCUGUGGGCACAGUGCAGUUGCACCUUCCUCUCCUUCACAGACACCAGCUGCCCUAGAUGGCGAUGGAUCUAUGAAGCCCUUGUUCUCCUUGCUCCGAACAUGAUAUGAAAAGUUGCUUUGUGGUCGUCAGCUCUCCUCAGUAGGCUCAGUUCAUGCCCGGGGCUCUCGCCCCCUGACACUCUUUACUGGCCCUCGUCACUCUGUCAUUAUGAGUGUCCUGGGAAGGGCUCCUCUUGGCUCUCGUCCCUCUGACCUCAGCAAGACCUCCCUCUGAACCACACAGACAUCUCUCAUUAUCACCCCACAUCCUUCCUACUUGGAAGAACCAGAUUUAGUUCCACGACUCCCCCACUGCUUUCAGAGCCCCCAGAUCACAGGAAAUCAAGUGAUGAUCUUUGAAACUUUCUGAAACUGAGCUCCCCAAGUCUACAGGGGAUCUAACCAUGCCUGGCCUUCUCCACCAACACAGAGCACAUCUCCCCAAGGCUCCCAACCCACAUGGGCCACAAAUCAGGGUCCGCUAUUACCCAACUCAGCAGGUGUUGCAGCCUGGGAGAUGAAGCCUCACCAACCCCACCAUGUUAAAAGCUCGUGGUUCUUGGUUUAUCACCCAUCCCCUGGGCCCUGACUGCACACUGAUCAUUCACUCAUCUGGGAACCGCUGGCCACAUUCUCCCACAUUAUCUGUCUCUCUAUACCUUACCCAGGUUGUCCCAGGUAACCGAGACUCCAAUCCAGCUCUGCUGUAUCCAACCUGUGACCUUGGGCAAAGUGUGGAUCCUCUCCAUGCCUCUGCUUUCUCACCUGUAAAGAGGGUCACCUUGGAUCUCUCUUCACUGGAUUGUUGGAAAGAUUAGAUUGAUUAGUACAGUCAAAGUGCUAAGGAGCCUGGCUCAGUAAAUGUUGGGGGGAUCAGUUCUUAUCACACUGAGUGCAAAGGGAUAGAGUCCACUCCAUGGAGGCCUUCCCAUCACUCCUGAGCUCUCAGGGACCAGUGACCAACACUGUUUAAAGAAUGACCAAACAGCUUGGGCAUUUUUCUCCUUCCUGCUCCAACUACAGAAGAAAGAACUCUUGGCAAACAGCUGGAUAAACUCUUUUUCCUGAGAUGUCUGAAGGCACCUGCCCCAAGCCAACUGGCCAGCCUCCUGCUGUUCUGAGCUGCAGGUCAGGCACCAGAUCUUAUUCAGAGACACUAUGUACCCCCGACCCUCCACGCAGUGCUCUGCUGCUCUACCUUUCUCUUCAGCUAAAACAUACAAGAGCAGAAAAUACCUCCUGUCUUCCAAUCCUUUGGUGUCCCUAGUCUCUGGAGAAGCUUCCCAGACUCUUUUGGAAGAUUCCAGAGGACAAUCAUCUAUGGGCCUCUUCUGCCUAUGGAUUGUAAUGUCCUGGGGUUUCCUAAGAAAGAGAAUAC
rnacentral:lncRNA from 1 species